rfam:Bacillus sp. B-jedd genome assembly, contig: CONTIG000001
ACUAUUAGGGGAAGCGAUGAAGGAUAUCCUUUAUCUGGACACUUUGGGAUAUCUGGAGCCAGUAGUGUAACCGGCCCCCCAAAAA